rnacentral:rRNA from 1 species
AAAUUGAAGAGUUUGAUCAUGGCUCAGAUUGAACGCUGGCGGCAGGCCUAACACAUGCAAGUCGAACGGUAACAGGAAACAGCUUGCUGUUUCGCUGACGAGUGGCGGACGGGUGAGUAAUGUCUGGGAAACUGCCUGAUGGAGGGGGAUAACUACUGGAAACGGUAGCUAAUACCGCAUAACGUCGCAAGACCAAAGAGGGGGACCUCGGGCCUCUUGCCAUCGGAUGUGCCCAGAUGGGAUUAGCUGUGGUGGGGUAACGGCUCACCAGGCGACGAUCCCUAGCUGGUCUGAGAGGAUGACCAGCCACACUGGAACUGAGACACGGUCCAGACUCCUACGGGAGGCAGCAGUGGGGAAUAUUGCACAAUGGGCGCAAGCCUGAUGCAGCCAUGCCGCGUGUAUGAAGAAGGCCUUCGGGUUGUAAAGUACUUUCAGCGGGGAGGAAGGGAGUAAAGUUAAUACCUUUGCUCAUUGACGUUACCCGCAGAAGAAGCACCGGCUAACUCCGUGCCAGC